GAUGCCUCAUCUGGGUCUGCCUUUGCCUGUGAAGCUUCCCUUGGACCUAAAUUAAUUAAUUAACUCUCAUUAAAGGAAGGCCUUUGAUUUGAGAGCAGGGAAACGUGUUUGCGCAGAGGCUACACCCACUUCUUUAUCUGGGAGCAUCCUUGACUGAUAACACUGUGUCAUAAUUAGGCACGUCAAACAAGUUAUAAGUUGAUUCAUUGUCUUUAUGUGGUCCCAGAGGAAGAGGUGAAGGAUGACUGUUCUCCAGAGGAGGUUGCAGAGAGCAGUAUGCAUAGUGUUUCUUAAGUGCUCCAGCUCUUGGGAUAUUUCUGGAGAACUGGGUAAAGGGAGGCAAAAGCAUCUGGACAGUAUUCAGCUAAGUAUCAGACCAUUUGGCACCAGAGGGGACACGGUCUCUCAGGAUGAUAUCUGCACACUUGGGAGUUUACCGAUGUGAAAAAUAGAGAUAUUCAAGCAUCUCCGUGAGAGGUCAAUGGUCAGUGGGAAUAAAGGAUUUACAGAGAAGCUGUAUUUUUCUGAA
rnacentral:lncRNA from 1 species